UUGGGAAUAUUGGACAAUGGGCGAAAGCCUGAUCCAGCAAUGCCGCGUGAGUGAUGAAGGCCUUAGGGUUGUAAAGCUCUUUUACCCGGGAUGAUAAUGACAGUACCGGGAGAAUAAGCUCCGGCAAACUCCGUGCCAGCAGCCGCGGUAAUACGGAGGGAGCUACCGUAGUUCGGAAUUACUGGGCGUAAAGCGCGCGUAGGCGGCAUGCCAAGUCAGGGGUGAAAUCCCGGGGCUCAACCCCGGAACUGCCCUUGAAUCUGGCAAGCUAGAAUCCUGGAGAGGCGAGUGGAAUUCCGAGUGUAGAGGUGAAAUUCGUAGAUAUUCGGAAGAACACCAGUGGCGAAGGCGACUCGCUGGACAGGUAUUGACGCUGAGGUGCGAAAGCGUGGGGAGCAAACAGGAUUAGAUACCCCCGUAGUCC
rnacentral:rRNA from 1 species